rnacentral:ncRNA from 1 species
CAUCGUGAGGUGGAGUAUGAAGUAAGCCCGUAGCAAACUCUCGGUCUGACGAACAGAAACUGUAUAGAAGGCAUAUAUAGGGCGGACGAGCUUGCCAAACAAAGCGAAGUCCAAUACUGCCCGAACCCUAUGGUGUAAAUGCAGCAGAUAUAUGAGAGGAAGGUUGCU